CAUGCACAUCUAGAUCCAUACUUUUUGGGCUCAACUCAGGGUUACCAAAAUAGAGUCAAACUCAACUCAGGAUUACCUAAAUGGAGUCAAAUUUUGUGUGUGGUUUUGUAACAUGAUUCUUUCAGUCAUCAUUUCCAGGCCACAUUUUUCAUGUCACUCAUGACUGCAUUAUAAGUUUGUACCAUAAUUCAUUUAACCAAUACUCUGUUGUGCAUUUAGAAUAUUUUCAGAUGUUUAUUGUCCUUAUAAAAGUCAGUAUGAAGGUAUGCAAUUAUCACUUAGGCCACAUUCCUGGAAGUAAAAUUGUUGGAAUGGAAACUAUGUACAUUUUACAGUGCAGAUUGCUGGAAGAGUUUUAUGCAAAAACUUAUACAAAAAUUUACACUCUUACCAGCAGAAAGCCUCAGCGCCACUGAGUGCUGUUGUAUUGUUAAUCUUGAUUAAUCUGGUAUGUGAAGAAGGAUGUUUCAAUGUUUUGUCUGUGUCUCUCUGAUUAUUUUGCUUGUUGAUUGGCCAGUUGUUAAUUCUGUCUUUGUGAGUUGUCUUUUUCUCAGUACUUGGCCUAUUUGUCUUUGAUUUGAAAAAGCUCUUUAUGUUGUAGUCAUUUUAAUUCCUGUCAUAUGUUUUGUAAACAAUUUUUCGAGUUCAUAAUUUUUCAAUCUUGUUUGUAUUAUAUUUUGCCACACAAAAAUUUUAAAUUUGUAUAGUCAAAUUUAUCAGUCUUUUUCCUUAUGUUGGACCUUCUAAUCUCAAGGUACUAAAUAUAAUCUAGCAUUUUUUUAAACAUUAAAAAUUUUUAAUCCAUCUAUAAUUUAUUUUAGGAUAGGGAGUGAGGCAGGGGAAGGUAUCUUUUUAAAUAAAAAUCGUUGCUAAAUGGUUGGCUAGUUGUCCUAUUAAUAGUCAUUGAGACCAGGAGCGGUGGUUCACCCCUGUAAUCCCAGCACUGUGGGAGGCUGAGGUGGGAGGAUCACUUGAGGUCAGGAGUUCGAGACUAGCCUGGGCAACAUGGCGACACACAAUCUUUACAAAAAAUAAGAAUUAACAGAGGCCAGGCUCAGUGGCUCACGCCUGUAACCUUUGGGAGGCCAAGGUGGGUGGAUCACUUGAGGCCAUGUGUUCAAGACCAGCCUGGCCAACAUGGUGAAACCCUGUCUUUACUAAAAAUACAAAAAUUAGCCAGGCGUGGUGGUGUGCACAUGUAGUCCUAGCUACUUGGGAGGCUGAAGUGGGAGGACCCCUUGAACAGGGGAGGUUGAGGCUGCAGUGAGCCAUGGUCAUGCCCUGUACUCCAGCUGGGUGACAGAGCAAGACCCUGUUUCCAAAAAAAAAAAAAAAAAUUCAUUGACUGUUUUUUUCUGUUAGUGAUUUGAAAUCAUAUACUGAAUCAUAUGCUGAAGUCUAUUUCUGAACUUCUUCUUUUGUUCUACUGAUCUAUUUCUGUGCCAAUACCACCUACUGUAACUUUAAAAUAGGUUUUUGUUUAUACCAAGUAAGAAUAAGUUACCAUUAUUUUUCCAUUAAUUUUUUUUUUUUUUUUUGAGACAAGGUCUCACUCUGUCACUCUGUUGCCCAGGCUGGAGUGCAGUGGCAUGAUCUCAGCUCACUGUAACCUCUGCCUCCCUGCUUCAAGCUAUUCUCCCACCUCAUCCUCCCGAGUAACUGGGACUACAGAUGCGUGCCACCACACCUGACUAAUCUUUAUAUUUUUAGUAGAGAGGGGGGUUUCACCGUGUUGGCCAGGCUAGUCUCGAGCUCGUGACCUCACGUGAUCCUCCCGUCUCCGCCUCCCAAAGUGCUGGAAUUACUGGCAUGAGCCACCGAGGCUGGCCUGAGUAUUCUAGUUUAUAACUUACAAGGUCAUUCAUAUGUAUAUGUUGUUGUGCUUGUCUAGCUAUUUUAUAUUUUGUUAUUCUGAACUCUUGGCCUCUAUCUCAGCUCCAGCCCCUGAAAGUGCAGGAGUGCUUUUGCUCUGCCAGUCGGCCUUUUUUGGGAAAUCAUAUCAAGAUGGCUUUUCCAGCACAAUUACUUCCUAGAGUGUCUGCUUGAUGCAUGGAAACUCAUAGAUUUUUGGCAUGCCAAACAGAGGGUUUUCCUGCCGUCACUGCUGGCUCCAGCCACAGACUUCAGUUUUCUUACCUGUUAGAGCCUUUGUCCUCUGACUGGUGGAAAUGGAGCUUGCUUCUUUUUGUUUUGCCUGCCACUAGUCUGGCAGCCUCCACCUCUUGACCCUUGGGUUUCUUAUCCUUGGAAUCAGAUACGAGGCCCUGUGUCUUCUGUUGCUGUAGAGGACACAAGUCAUAUUCUCUGAGUGGAGAUCUCUCUGAAGCUCCUCUUUCCAGGCUUGUACUGAGGGACCUCUGGACCCUCUACCACGUGGUGUCAAAGCUGCCAAGAGCUGUCAUAUGCUGGGUCUGUAAAUUGACUUUCUCACCUCUGACCAGAUGCAUUCACUUGAGCGGCACAGAGAUUUGGGGGAGUGAAAGGGCACUGUUUCUUUGGGUCCGUGGGCUUGUGUCCCAUCCCCUAGCCUUGGGGUUAGCAGGAUUCAGAAUUUAUGAGUGUGGUCUGCAAAAGUCUACCUCUACCAGAUGGGGGAGAACCUAGUGUGUGGACCUGAAGGGUUAGCUCUGUGCUUUAGUCCCUGGGAGUGGCCAUCUUGAGUCUUGGUGGGCUUGGCAAGUAAGGAGACAUUGACCAGAUUCAAAGCUUCCAGAGGUGGUGAGAACUCCAGGGCCGAGUAAUGGAGAGUACAAAGGUCCUUCUUGGCCCCCAUGACCCUUCCAAGCCAAGAACUUGGCAGUAGCUGUGAGAAGCAGAGAUAGGGAGAGGAGGUGAGGGGCACCUAUAGCUCUUAGCCAUGAGUUAUGACUCCCUCCAUCCAAGGGAGACCCAAGGACAUGAAAGGGGACUCAGUUCCAAGGAUCAGAGGGAACUUGGGUUGUUUUGGGAUAAUGACUGUGGCUUGGGAUGUCACGGAGAUGAACACCAGAAUUGGUGUGCAACAGAUGAGCUCCAGUACCCCUGAUAGUUUGCAUGGGUUUUGCUCUGCUGAUGAUGGUCAGGGACAGCAGUGAGGCCCUCUACAAUGCCGCCUUCUGCCUAAACACAGGCAGUGCCCACAAAAGGGGAGCUGUCAUUAUGGAGCCUAGGAAUGGAUAGUCAGAGAGCAGCGGCUGGGCAGUGCAACUCCUGCAUUGGACAAGGUCCUGGCUAGAGAAUGUCAAUGUCCACACUGCAUGUAGCCCUAUCGAGGAGAUGAUGUAGGGGGCUGUCAGCCUUGGAGACUCUAGCCUAAGUACCCCACCACCACUCUGGCUGGCUUCCAAGGGCACAAAUCAGCUUUCUGAAUCUGACUUGGCUUCCUGUGAUCUGCAUUCAUGAACAUUCUUACUAGAGUUCUCAUGGAAAAUGAAUACACAACUAUUUGGUCUGAAUGUGUCUGAGUUUGGUGUCUCCAAAACAAUUCUCUGGAUUAGAUGGAGAAUGAAGAAACUUCACAAAGGCAAAAGGACAGGUCCCCAUCUCGACCCCCAGAGACCACUUCUCAGAGUCUCUAUCUGUUCGUCUCUGGUGUUAGCCACGUUCCUUUACUUUCCCUCAUUUCUGUGGCCACUCCUGUGGCUUCCUCUCUUUCAACCUGCAGGCUGCUGCUGCCCUGCCUCAGACCCUUGUAGGCUUCUGUAGAGAUGCUACUCAGAUGGGGGUGGAGCUAGAUGCAGAGCUGAAACCCACCUAGGAGAUCUAGCUUGGAGAGCUUGUGAAUCUUAGGAGAGCUAGGCAUAGAAUGACUAAAGUUUGUCACCGCAUGAGAUAAAAUAAAUGAAAAGCCACUUCUGGAGGGAAUGAGGCAGUCUGCCUUUAUUGGAGAGAUACAUAUUGUUGAACAGCUCUGGGCAGUUGAUUGUGUGCCUGGGAGAGCUAACCAUGUUUACUCUACACUUGACCUGUGAUGGUCUGUAUUGAUUGUAUCACACGCUUAGCUUUCUAAGGCUAACCAGGUCAUCGUCCUCAGUCCCUGCCUGCAACUAGGUUGCCAACUGGCCCUUGAUUUCCCACCCAACUUGUUCAGUUUGCCCUCAAUCCUGGGGCCUCACUAAUUUCCCAAAAAGAUAUGGUUGGUACCACCUGUAGUUUGCUGUUGCAUGUUAACCUGACUUUUGGGAAACUCAAAUAAACACUUUUCAAACGCAUUGACCAUUUUUACUCUAUGACUUCUGCUUUGCAUGAUCGCUAGCUUGGUCACCCAUCAUGCUGCUUUCUGGUGAGCUGAAAGGAAAAUAAAUGGUCUAAAUUGAGCAACAAGAAAGUAAACUUUUAAGCAGGUACUUUCCAAGUGAAAUGAGAACCGGAGAUUGGGUCCAAAAGAGAGGAUGCCCAGCCAGACUGAACUUUCAAGUGUUUUCCAACUGGAAAGCUCCAAUGUCCUCUGAUCUCAGUGAAUUUCCAAUCUAAUUUCAAGGAAGUCCCUCAGGAGCCCCAUUGCAAGGGUGGUUAUAGAACCAUUUACAACUGCUUUAAUAAAACUAAUGCUUAUAAAGAAAGAAAACUUGUUUUUUAGUCAUCCAUAACACAAAAAAGUGAGGUUUGAUGCACAGUAAAAGGAAUCAUUAUUUAAGUUAGUCUGAGUUAUAUUGUAUUUUGGAAAUGCUCCACAUUCAAUAUUUAUGCCACAUACUCUAAAACCAAAGUAUGUAGAUUAAAAAAAAACUAUUUCCAGAAAUAAGCUUGCUGAAUCACCACAGGCUUAAUUUAUUUAUUUUAACUACCAGUUUCCUGAAUGUUUUUGUCUAAUUGGCCUAUCUGCAGUUGCCCUUGGUCCACCCUUGAGCCCACUCUUUAAGCCUGUCUGUCACUUAGAGAAGUACAAGUACUUCCUGCUGAGAAUAAAGCCUUGAUCGCAAUUUCAGUGAAUUAUCAGGGAAGUGUGAGAAUAAGUAGGAAUAAAUGUCUAAACAUUUGGGAAAAACUUGUUUGCAAUAAAUGUGGUUAACAGAGAGUGAAUAGGCUUACUACAUAAAAUUGUUACUCAUCAAUUAAAAAAACUGUACAAUCCUCCUCCGGGGGAAAAUGAUCAGAUAUUUUAAGUCUGCUGAUAUUUUUCUCUGGAUGUCAGACCUGUAUACUUUGUCCUGCAUUAUUGGAGUAUAAUUGGCAAAUAAAAGUUUUAUGUAUUUAAGGCAUACAAUGUGAUGAUAUGAUACACCUAUACACUGUGACAUGAUUACCUCAAUCAAGCUAAUUAACACAUCCAUCACCUCACCUUUUUUGUGUGUGGUGAGAACACUUAGAUUUACUCCUAUAGCCCAUUUCAGGUAUACAUUAUUAACUCUAGUCACCAUGCUAUACAUUAGAUCUCCAAAACUUAUUCAUCUUGUAACUGAAAGUUUGUACUCUUUGACCAACAUUCGCCAUUCCUCCCCAACCCCUAACUUUGGUAACCACCCUUUUGCUCUCUGUUUCUAUGAGUUCUUCUGUUUC
rnacentral:lncRNA from 1 species